rfam:Salmo salar isolate Sally breed double haploid chromosome ssa20, whole genome shotgun sequence.
GAAUGAAAUGUAUGCACUAAGUCGCUCUGGAUAAGAGCGUCUGCUAAAUGACUAAAA